rnacentral:rRNA from 1 species
AACGAACGCUGGCGGCAUGCCUAACACAUGCAAGUCGAACGAGACCUUCGGGUCUAGUGGCGCACGGGUGCGUAACGCGUGGGAACCUGCCCUUAGGUUCGGAAUAACUCCCCGAAAGGGGUGCUAAUACCGGAUAAUGUCUUCGGCCCAAAGAUUUAUCGCCUUUGGAUGGGCCCGCGUUGGAUUUGCUAGUUGGUAGGGUAAAAGCCUACCAAGGCGACGAUCCAUAGCUGGUCUGAGAGGAUGAUCAGCCACACUGGGACUGAGACACGGCCCAGACUCCUACGGGAGGCAGCAGUGGGGAAUAUUGGACAAUGGGCGAAAGCCUGAUACAGCAAGGACGCGUGAGUGAUGAAGGCCUUAGGGUUGUAAAGCUCUGUUAACCGGGAAGAUAAUGACAGUACCGGGAGAAUAAGCGCCGGCUAACUCCGUG